GCGGCGCUGGCGGUCUAGUGACUGCGCUUGCUCGACAAGCAGGAACAGGCGGGUGCGAUCCCCGCGCGCCGUA
rnacentral:tRNA from 1 species